GAUGAACGCUGGCGGCGUGCCUAGUACAUGCAAGUCGAGCGAACAGACGAGGAGCUUGCUCCUCUGACGUUAGCGGCGGACGGGUGAGUAACACGUGGAUAACCUACCUAUAAGACUGGGAUAACUUCGGGAAACCGGAGCUAAUACCGGAUAAUAUAUUGAACCGCAUGGUUCAAUAGUGAAAGACGGUUUUGCUGUCACUUAUAGAUGGAUCCGCUCCGCAUUAGCUAGUUGGUAAGGUAACGGCUUACCAAGGCAACGAUGCUUAGCCGACCUGAGAGGGUGAUCGGCAACACUGGAACUGAGACACGGUCCAGACUCCUACGGGAGGCAGCAGUAGGGAAUCUUCCGCAAAGGGCGAAAGCCUGACGGAGCAACGCCGCGUGAGUGAUGAAGGUCUUCGGAUCGUAAAACUCUGUUAUUAGGGAAGAACAAAUGUGUAAGUAACUAUGCACGUCUUGACGGUACCUAAUCAGAAAGCCACGGCUAACUACGUG
rnacentral:rRNA from 1 species